rnacentral:sRNA from 1 species
UGCUGGAGGAGUUCUGACUGUAACAUUUGUCACCCCGCUGCGUGCCAGGGUUAAUUGAGCUAAUUUGGUUGGCUAGGAAGGUGUCUCAAUUCUCUUGUGGUGCGCUUCCUUCCACCCUAACCUUAAGCUAGAAAGAAGAAAAGCUUCUGCCCACCCUCCUUGUAUAAGAGGACCCACACUCCCCUGUUGGGUCCUCUAAACAGGAUCCCAAGAUCUUAAAUUCAGCAGAGAACACCAGCUAGAAAUAGCAGAUCUCUGCUAAAGGUGCUACUCAGGUCCAUCUUU